rnacentral:rRNA from 1 species
CCUACGGGUGGCAGCAGUGAGGAAUAUUGGUCAAUGGACGAGAGUCUGAACCAGCCAAGUAGCGUGAAGGAUGACUGCCCUAUGGGUUGUAAACUUCUUUUAUAUGGGAAUAAAAUGUUCCACGUGUGGGAUUUUGUAUGUACCAUAUGAAUAAGGAUCGGCUAACUCCGUGCCAGCAGCCGCGGUAAUACGGAGGGUCCGAGCGUUAUCCGGAUUUAUUGGGUUUAAAGGGAGCGUAGGGGGGUUGUUAAGUCAGUUGUGAAAGUUUGCGGCUCAACCGUAAAAUUGCAGUUGAAACUGGCAGUCUUGAGUACAGUAGAGGUGGGCGGAAGUCGUGGUGUAGCGGUGAAAUGCUUAGAUAUCACGAAGAACUCCGAUUGCGAAGGCAGUUCACUGGACUGCAACUGACACUGAGGCUCGAAAGUGUGGGUAUCAAACAGGAUUAGAUACCCGAGUAGUC